CCUACGGGAGGCAGCAGUGAGGAAUAUUGGUCAAUGGACGAGAGUCUGAACCAGCCAAGUCGCGUGAAGGAGGACUGCACUGUGGGUUGUAAACCUCUUUUGUCGGGGAGCAAAGAGAGUCACGUGUGACUGAUUGAGAGUACCCGAAGAAAAAGCAUCGGCUAACUCCGUGCCAGCAGCCGCGGUAAUACGGAGGAUGCGAGCGUUAUCCGGAUUUAUUGGGUUUAAAGGGUGCGCAGGCGGAGGUGCAAGUCAGCGGUCAAAGUGCGGGGCUCAACCCCGUACUGCCGUUGAAACUGCAUCCCUUGAGUGCGCGAGAAGUAUGCGGAAUGCGGGGUGUAGCGGUGAAAUGCAUAGAUAUCACGCAGAACUCCGAUUGCGAAGGCAGCAUACCGGCGCGAAACUGACGCUCAUGCACGAAAGCGUGGGUAUCGAACAGGAUUAGAUACCCGAGUAGUC
rnacentral:rRNA from 1 species